ACCAAUCAAAUUUGAUGAAUUUCUUCCCCACAAAUAUUUCUCAUUGGUUAAUCUAUCGUCAGCUAAAGGACAGAGGAAGAAAGCUUAACGUCUAUUGGUCGCCUGGUAAGACGUGACAUCACAGACCGCAGCUAACCAAUAGGAAGAACGGAACUAAUCUACGGACGUGUUAAAAAAAAUAAGUGAUAUUAAUUACCCUAAAUUAACAUAGCAUUAACAUAUGGAUAAAGAAAGACAUAGAAUAAGGAAAUAAGAAAACCGUGAAUAAGAA